CAUGAUGUAAUGGAAUUAAGAAUGGGUCAAUGAAAUAUACAGCCCCUUUCUGGAAUGUACUUGUUCUGCUACAACCAUGGAUAUUCUGACCUUUCUGUGCCUUUCAGGGACAAGGGUAAUAGAGGAAUUUCAGACUCCCUCCAAAACAAAACAACAACUGAACAAUAAACAACAGAAAAAUAACACAAAAAAAGACGGUGGUACUCUUUCCCCUUUCCUUGCUUUCUCCUACUACCAAAACAAACAACAAAAACUACAUUGUCUCAUUGGAUGACGAAGCUAAAAUUUUGUAGCAAAUCUAUAAAAGAAAAGAAGUGGAAAUCUACUCAAGAGCUACUGUAAAACACUGUAUACAAAACAACCACUUUGGUUCACAUUAAA
rnacentral:lncRNA from 1 species